rnacentral:sRNA from 1 species
UUAGGGGUGUGGUUCAAGGCAACUUGGACUAUUGGGUUGUGUCUUUUGCGUUUACUUUUCAUAAACUNUUGAAUGUAAUAGAAUGUUCAUGGCCUACGGGCUUUAAUAAAUGAAAUACAACUUUCAACAACGGAUCUCUUGGCUCUCGCAUCGAUGAAGAACGCAGCGAAAUGCGAUAAGUAAUGUGAAUUGCAGAAUUCAGUGAAUCAUCGAAUCUUUGAACGCCCCUUGCGCUCCUGGGCUAUUCCUAGGAGCAUGCCUGUUUGAGUGUCUUGAAAUCAUCAACCCCAGUUGGAUUUAAAAUAUGACUGGUGGCUUGGAUUUUGGGGGUUUGCUGGCCGUUUUGAUUCGGUCUGGCUCCCCUUGAAUGUAUUAGCUUGGACUUGUUCCUAAGGCUUCAUAGCGUGAUAAUUAUCUACGCUUUGUACUGUCUGUGGAAUAUCUAUGAGUCUAGCUUCUAGCCGUCCUCUGGACAAUCUUUCANUCUUUGACCU